rnacentral:tRNA from 1 species
GGUACUGUGGCACAGUGGGUUAAAGCCCUGGCCUAAAGAGCCAGCAUCCCAUAUGGGCGCUGGUUCUAGUCCUGGCGGUUCCU